CGGCGUGCUUAACACAUGCAAGUCGAACGGAUCACCCUUGAAAGAGAUUUCGGUCAAUGGAUAGGAAUGCUUAGUGGCGGACUGGUGAGUAACGCGUGAGGAACCUGCCUUCCAGAGGGGGACAACAGUUGGAAACGACUGCUAAUACCGCAUGACACAUGACCGUGGCAUCACGGACAUGUCAAAGAUUUAUCGCUGGAAGAUGGCCUCGCGUCUGAUUAGCUGGUAGGCGGGGUAACGGCCCACCUAGGCGACGAUCAGUAGCCGGACUGAGAGGUUGACCGGCCACAUUGGGACUGAGAUACGGCCCAGACUCCUACGGGAGGCAGCAGUGGGGAAUAUUGGGCAAUGGGCGCAAGCCUGACCCAGCAACGCCGCGUGAAGGAAGAAGGCUUUCGGGUUGUAAACUUCUUUUCUCAGGGACGAAGAAAGUGACGGUACCUGAGGAAUAAGCCACGGCUAACUACGUGCCAGCAGCCGCGGUAAUACGUAGGUGGCAAGCGUUAUCCGGAUUUACUGGGUGUAAAGGGCGUGUAGGCGGGAAAGCAAGUCAGAUGUGAAAACCACGGGCUCAACCUGUGGCCUGCAUUUGAAACUGUUUUUCUUGAGUACUGGAGAGGCAGACGGAAUUCCUAGUGUAGCGGUGAAAUGCGUAGAUAUUAGGAGGAACACCAGUGGCGAAGGCGGUCUGCUGGACAGCAACUGACGCUGAGGCGCGAAAGCGUGGGGAGCAAACAGGAUUAGAUACCCUGGUAGUCCACGCUGUAAACGAUGGAUACUAGGUGUGGGGGGACUGACCCCCUCCGUGCCGCAGUUAACACAAUAAGUAUCCCACCUGGGGAGUACGAUCGCAAGGUUGAAACUCAAAGGAAUUGACGGGGGCCCGCACAAGCGGUGGAGUAUGUGGUUUAAUUCGAAGCAACGCGAAGAACCUUACCAGGGCUUGACAUCCCGCUGACCGGCAUAGAGAUAUGCUUUUCUCUUCGGAGACAGCGGUGACAGGUGGUGCAUGGUUGUCGUCAGCUCGUGUCGUGAGAUGUUGGGUUAAGUCCCGCAACGAGCGCAACCCUUAUUGUUAGUUGCUACGCAAGAGCACUCUAGCGAGACUGCCGUUGACAAAACGGAGGAAGGUGGGGACGACGUCAAAUCAUCAUGCCCCUUAUGUCCUGGGCCACACACGUACUACAAUGGUGGUUAACAGAGGGAAGCAAAACCGCGAGGUGGAGCAAAUCCCUAAAAGCCAUCCCAGUUCGGAUCGCAGGCUGCAACCCGCCUGCGCGAAGUUGGAAUCGCUAGUAAUCGCAGAUCAGCAUGCCGCGGUGAAUACGUUCCCGGGCCUU
rnacentral:rRNA from 1 species